AGAGUUUGAUCAUGGCUCAGAUUGAACGCUGGCGGAAUGCUUUACACAUGCAAGUCGAACGAUGAACCUUAGCUUGCUAGGGGGAUUAGUGGCGAACGGGUGAGUAAUAUAUCGGAACGUGCCUUGUAAUGGGGGAUAACUAGUCGAAAGAUUAGCUAAUACCGCAUACGCCCUGAGGGGGAAAGUAGGGGAUCUUCGGACCUUACGUUAUAAGAGCGGCCGAUAUCUGAUUAGCUAGUUGGUGGGGUAAUGGCCUACCAAGGCUUCGAUCAGUAGCUGGUCUGAGAGGACGACCAGCCACACUGGAACUGAGACACGGUCCAGACUCCUACGGGAGGCAGCAGUGGGGAAUUUUGGACAAUGGGGGAAACCCUGAUCCAGCCAUGCCGCGUGUGUGAAGAAGGCCUUCGGGUUGUAAAGCACUUUCGGACGGAACGAAAUCGCGCGUGUUAAUACCCCGCGUGGAUGACGGUACCGUAAGAAGAAGCACCGGCUAACUG
rnacentral:rRNA from 1 species